rnacentral:rRNA from 1 species
UGGCGUCAGGACGAACGCUGGCGGCGUGCCUAACACAUGCAAGUCGAACGGGGAUUUGUUUCGGCAGAAUCCUAGUGGCGAACGGGUGAGUAACGCGUAGGCAACCUGCCCUCCGCCGGGGACAACACUCCGAAAGGGGUGCUAAUACCGGAUACGAAGUCUGUGCCGCAUGGUACGGAUUUGAAAGAUGGCCUCUAUUUAUAAGCUAUCGCCGGGGGAUGGGCCUGCGUCCGAUUAGCUGGUUGGUGGGGUAACGGCCUACCAAGGCGACGAUCGGUAGCCGGUCUGAGAGGAUGAACGGCCACAUUGGGACUGAGACACGGCCCAGACUCCUACGGGAGGCAGCAGUGGGGAAUCUUCCGCAAUGGGCGCAAGCCUGACGGAGCAACGCCGCGUGAGUGAGGAAGUUCUUCGGAACGUAAAGCUCUGUUGUUCCUGACGAACCUCCCUUCUAUCAACAACGGAGGGGACUGACGGUAGGGAACGAGGAAGCCACGGCUAACUACGUGCCAGCAGCUGC